rnacentral:rRNA from 1 species
UGGGGAAUCUUGCGCAAUGGGCGAAAGCCUGACGCAGCGACGCCGCGUGGGUGAUGAAGGCCUUCGGGUCGUAAAGCUCUGUGGGGAGAGACGAAUAAAGCAGGAAUAACACUCCUGACGAUGACGGUAUCUCCUUAGCAAGCACCGGCUAACUCUGUGCCAGCAGCCGCGGUAAGACAGAGGGUGCAAACGUUGUUCGGAAUUACUGGGCGUAAAGCGUGUGUAGGCGGCCAUGUAAGUUGGAUGUGAAAGCCCAGGGCUCAACCUUGGAAGUGCAUUCAAUACUGCGUGGCUUGAGUAUCGGAGAGGUUGGUGGAAUUCUCGGUGUAGAGGUGAAAUUCGUAGAUAUCGAGAGGAACACCGGUGGCGAAGGCGGCCAACUGGACGAAUACUGACGCUGAGACACGAAAGCGUGGGGAGCAAACAGG